CGGCUGGAUCGACGGUCACCCAGCUGCUUAGUUCCGUUCCGUUCAAAUAGGACUUCGCAUCCUAUUAAGUCGAGUUUAGCAAUACGUUGGAUCAAUUCCUCUUCCUAACUCAGAGCUUGGACUGGACCUGAUGAAGAUUUUUCUGAGGAAUAUUCCCAAUUAUCUCACUGCACAUGUGCAGCACAGACAACACGUCAACAAGGACCUGUAGAAAAGUGGACAGACUACUGGUGACAGCUUUCAAAAGAAAUGGCUACUUAAAUGUUUCAAGGAAAGCUUCUACGCACACUAUGAAAACACCUCUUGCAAAUGUUUUGUACAAUCCUACCAGUAGACACUAGUGGGCAUUGCAGGUAUUAGAAUAUGUCUAGUCUUCUGAACUAGUAUAUAUAUAUAUAUAGAUAGAUAGAGAGAGAGAGAGAGAGAGUUUUGAAAAACAUAUUUUCUAAAGGGCAUGAUGGAAAUGUAGAGAAUGACGAAUAGAUUUCAUGACUUCAACUGGAAAUUGCUUUUGAUUUAGUCAUGAUUACAAUAGUACCAAUCAUGCAACUCUGGCUGAGUUAUAGAAGAAUACAUUUGCAAUAUUUAUUUCAAAAUUCCUUAGACUAACUUCACUUCAUGCGAGUAGAGUUCAGUUUUUUUUUUUUUUUAAAUCAUGCUGGAAUUAGAGUUAAUGUCAACUUUAAUGCUUGCUUGGAAUACCAAAGGCUCUACUCUAUAAUAGCACUGUGUCACUUUGGAAUAAGCUGUGGAUCUCUCACAAAAGUUUAGACAUUGAGUUUUUGGAAACUGGGAUAGAUACAGUAAGCUUCUUGGGGUAUAUUCAAAUGAGAUUCAACCAUUGAUUUCAUGUCUUUUGAAAUAUUUCCAGCUUUCAAUAAAGCUCAUCAUCUAGAUUUUUUUUUUUGUACAAUCAAUUCAAUGAUGUUCCAGUGCUACCAACAAAUUUUUGUUGACUGUUUUUCUUAAAGAACUUUUGAAAAAAAGUAUGUGAGUUUUUCAUAUUCUGUUUUGUUUAUGUUCCCUACAAUUGUUCCUGUACUACUGCUCCUAACUGUUGCUGUUCGCAGCCAUGAAAAACUCUACCUGUUCUGGUGUAACCUGUAUGCCUAUAUACUUAGUAGUUACCUUGUGGUUGUUGUUAGUUGCGAAGUCAUGUCUGACCCAUCGUGACCCCUACUCAUGCCCAUUAAAGAUUGUCAUUUCAGGUAUUGCUCCAUAAAGCCAGAAGGCGUCCAUCUUCUGCUUUACUCUGAAGUUUUCACUCACUAGAGAACAUUGGAUGCCUACCUGUUCAGAAAAGACCCCAAUUCUUUUUUUCCUCCUUUCAUAAUUAUAGGUUUUAAAAAUUUGGGCAUAGUUGCCCAUUGUUUUAUUCUGCA